AAAGUGCAUAUGAUAAUAAUGAGAUUGGACUUAAUAAAAUAUAGGAAAAACUUCGAAAAUCUCCCUGUAGUUUCAUAUUUUUUUAUUUUAAUACCCUGUGAUUUAAAGUGUAUCAAAUUAGUACCAUGUGGUUUCGUACUUUCUCACUUUAGUAUCCUGUGAUUUAAAGUGUAUCAAGUUAGUAUUCUAUGGCUUUAUUUUUGUAUCAAGUUAAUAUCCUAUGGUUUUAUUUUUGUAUCGAGUUAGUAUCCUGCGAUUUUAUUUUUCUCUUAAUGAAAGAUUAAACCACAGGGUACUAAAGUGAGAAAGUUUGAAACCACAGGAUACUAUAACUUGAUACACUUUAAACCACAGGGUACUAAAGUGAGAAAGUGCGAAACCACAAGGUACUAACUUGAUACACUUUAAAUCACAUGGCACUAAAGUAAGAAAGAGUGAAACUACAAGGGGGUAUUUGAAGUUUUUUCUAAAAUAUAUGUGAAUAUAGGAAAAAAGGUUAGAUAAGAAUCUAAUUGCAAAAAAUCGACCUAUUAAAUAAUUAAAAUUUUUAUUAUUAUUUGAAAGUAAUCUUAAUUUAUGGGUAAAAAAAAAAAAACUCUAAUUCAUUCUAAAAGAAGUAUGUUUAAGUUUUAAUAUUUAAUAAUUUUUUAAAAAAGUUUAGUGUGGUAGAACGUGAGUUCGAUACUCUCUAAAGAAAAAAAUCGAGAGAAUGUGAAGUGAAGGUUUAAAAUAAUUAAAAUUAUAUUAUAUUUUUGACUUACAACAAAGUAAAUAUCAGAAAUGAUGGAACUUGAGUUUCACCCUUUCAUUUACACCAAACCAAACAAUUCCUUAGGGGCCUAUUUAUUUCACCGUAAAUUAUAGAAGGAAAAAAUAAUUUUUUAUCGUAAAUAUUUAUAUUUGUUGUUUGAUUUAUUUAUAUUUGUUGUUUGAUUCAUCAGUCAAAACUCAAACUCUUAAAAAUAUUUUGGAAAAACUUCAAAUACCCCCCUUAUGGUUUCACUCUUUCUUACUUUAGUACCCCGUGGUUUAAAGUGUAUCAAGUAGUACCAUGUGGUUUUACACUUUUUUCACUUUAGUACUCCGUUGUUUAAAAUGUAUCAAGUUUGUACUAUGUGGUUUCGCACUUUUUCACUUUAGUAUCCUACGGUUUCGCACUUUCUCACUUUAGUAUCCUAUGAUUUUUAAAUCACAGGGUACUAACUUUAUACAAAAAUAAAAUCACAGAGUACUAACUUGAUACACUUUAAACCACAGGAUACUAAAGUGGGAAAGUGCGAAAUCAUAAGGUACUAACUUGAUACACUUUAAAUUAUAGAGUACUAAAAUAAAAAGUACGAAACCACAGGGGGAUUUUUGAAGUUUUUUCAAAUAUUUUUGUUUAUUUAGAUCCAUUCCAUAUCAAUUACCAAAAAAAAAAAAAAGAAAAAAAAAAAUAGAGUGAAAGUAUUAUGUUUUGACCCUAAACUUUCUUUUUGCAAUCUAGGUCAAACACCCCCAUAGAUAUCCAAAAUUCACCACUUCCAAUAUANGGAGGUGUGUAUUGUUUUUUUGAGAGAUAGAUAGCACGUUAUCUGCUUCGUUUAUUUCAUUUAGAAAUAAAUUUAACUAGAAUGUGAAUCAACUAGGAUUCGAACUUGGGUCUCGGAUACCAACCACCAAACCCUUUGUCACUUGCUCUAGGGAUGGUCGGUGGAGGUAUGUAUUGUUAAUCCAAUCCUUUAACGGGUUAAAGGGUUGGAAUAACGGGUUAAACAACUCUUUUAAAGGGUGGAAUUAACAAUCCUCAUCCUCCUGAAAUAGGGGUUGAAAUAGCUUCCCACUCUUAUUUAAUUUUUAAAUUUAAAUUUUUAAAACUUAAAAUUUAUAAUUUUAAAUUUUAAAUUCUAAAUUUUAAAUUAAUAUUUUAAGUUUUUUAAAUUUAAAAUUUGAUACUUUAGAUUUAAUCUUAAAUUUAAAAUUUAAAAUUUAUUUGAGAUUUUAAAUUUUAAAUUUAAAUUUAAAUUUUAAAUUUUUAAAAUUUAAAAGUUAAGUAUUUAAAUUUAAAAAUUUAAAUUCGAAUACAACAUAGGACAAUAUUAUUAUUUUUUAUUUAUAACUACCCACUAUUCUUUUUUUUUUUAUUUUCGAAAACAAUUCAAUUUUUAUUCAAACAAAAAAUUGAUUUAUUUCAGACUUAUAUUUGAACUUACAUCUAUUCCUGAAAUAGAUAAUUCUUAUUUAUACCCGAACUAAACGAAGUCAGGGAUGCAAAUGGACCCGGGUUGGUGGAGCUCCUGUCCCAAUUCGGCUGAAUAGGACGGUAGGUGUGAACAAAAAUAAUAGAAAAAUAAUUCACUCUGAAUUUGUCUCUAUUCGUAAAAAAAUUGUCAAAAAUUUGUGUUCUUUUUUUGAUCCGCCUGAAAUAAAAUGAUAAAUAAGAAUAAAUAAUAAAAUAAAAAAUAAUUCAUUCCGAAUACGUCCAGUCCCACAAAAAAUGGAUCCGGCCGUUUACAUCCGUCCAGGGUCGUUCCGCCGCCGUCCGUGACCACGAUUGCCUGGAUCCGACGUGUAAUUCCAACCCUCCCCCCAACCCCCACACUUGUGAAAUUACCAAAUUACCCCUUGAUCUUCCCCCGCGACCCAAUCCCCGUCGAAUCCUUCCUGCAGAGGAGAAAACAACAAUAAAGACGACAAUAACAACAACAAUCCCCAAUCAAGUGAGAGAGAGAGAGAAAGUAGGAAGAGAAGAGAGAGAGAGAGAGAAAGAGAGGGAUCAUGAGGAGCUUCACUAUAAUAGCUCCUCGCCUCUCCUCUCUCCUCUCUAUAUAUACCCCCUCCCCUCCGCAUCCUCCUCAGCUCUCCUUUCUAUCCUCCUCUCUCAGGUAUAUGACGGUUCUUCCUGCAGUUAGUUUGUUUUUCAAUAUAUUUUUUAAUAAAAAAAAUUCAAAUAUCAUCUGUUUAGUUUCGUAUUCUUCUAUUUUAAUAUCUUAUAAUUUAAAAUAUAUCACUUUUAAUUUAUUUUUAUUUUAAAAAUAAAAAAUAUUAAAGUGAAUAUUCGAUGAUAAACUAUAAAUAGAGUAUCUGAAGUUUUUUUUGUAUAUAAUUUAACGAAAAGGUAACGGAGAGAUCGACGAAAAGAAAAAAAUAAAAUACCAUCGAGUACUAAAGUGAAAAAUUGCGAAACUGUAGGGAUUGAUAUUGGAAGUUUACCUUAUUAAUGAAA
rnacentral:lncRNA from 1 species